CGCCUGUUUAUCAAAAACAUCGCCUCUUGCAAAAUCAAUGAAUAAGAGGUCCCGCCUGCCCUGUGACUAUAAGUUUAACGGCCGCGGUAUUUUGACCGUGCGAAGGUAGCGCAAUCACUUGUCUUUUAAAUGGAGACCUGUAUGAAUGGCAUAACGAGGGCUUAGCUGUCUCCUCUUUCAAGUCAAUGAAAUUGAUCUCCCCGUGCAGAAGCGGGGAUACUCACAUAAGACGAGAAGACCCUAUGGAGCUUUAGACACCAAGACAGACCAUGUUAAACACCCCAGAAUAAAGGACCAAACCAAAUGGCCCCUGCCCUAAUGUCUUUGGUUGGGGCGACCGCGGGGAAACACAAAACCCCCACGUGGAACGAGAGCACCUCCUCUCACAACCAAGAGCUCCCGCUCUAGUAAACAGAAAUUCUGACCAAUCAGAUCCGGCAAAGCCGAUCAACGGACCGAGUUACCCUAGGGAUAACAGCGCAAUCCCCUUUUAGAGGCCAUAUCGACAAGGGGGUUUACGACCUCGAUGUUGGAUCAGGACAUCCUAAUGGUGCAGCCGCUAUUAAGGGUUCGUUUGUUCAACGAUUAAAGUCCUACGUGAUCUGAGUUCAGACCGG
rnacentral:rRNA from 1 species